rnacentral:rRNA from 1 species
CAAUAGCGUAUAUUAAAGUUGUUGCAGUUAAAAAGCUCGUAGUUGGAUUUGUGGCGUACGGUGUGUUCCGGGCACUUGUUGUCUGAGUAACCUGCUGUUGCCAUCCUUGGGUGGAACCUGUGUGGCAUUAGGUUGUCGUGCAGGGGAUGCCCAUCAUUUACUGUGAAAAAAUUAGAGUGUUCAAAGCAGGCUUAUACCGUUGAAUAUAUUAGCAUGGAAUAAUGAGAUAGGACUUUUUUGCUAUUUUGUUGGUUUGCGCAAAGAGGUAAUGAUUAAUAGGGACAGUUGGGGGUAUUCGUAUUCCAUUGUCAGAGGUGAAAUUCUUGGAUUUUUGGAAGACGAACUACUGCGAAAGCAUUUACCAAGGAUGUUUUCAUUAA